rnacentral:tRNA from 1 species
GGCAGUAUGGCCGAGUGGUCCAAGGCGAAACCCUUAAGAGGUUUUAGGCUCACGCCUGCGUGGGUUCGAACCCCACUGCUGCCA